UCGUCGAUGAGAACUGCGAACACCCGACGCGCGGGCCAAUCGACGCCGAAGUGCGUCGGGCGCAUCUCGUCCAACGCGACAUCGUCGAACUGUCGCAGCGUCUCGGUAACCGGACGCUGGCUCUCGACUAGGUAGUCGAUCGAACCGCCCGCGUCGCCAUGCGGAACAAGGUCCCAGAAGUUGCGGACCUUUGGUCCGAAGCAAUGUUCCCAGUAGAUCGUGUUCCCGUCGGCAAUAUGGAGUAGCCGCCACGCGAUCGUGGUGAACGGCGGCGGGUCGGGAUGAACCUCCGGGUAGUCAACCGUCCAGCCGCUCGGCGAACUCGGAUCGGGCCGAACGUUCCAGCAGUUCGCGACUGGCUCCCACCGAUACUCGUCGUCGGUAAGGCCUUCGAGACGGCGUAGCAGUCGCUUGCACGACCGUUCCCAUUGCAGUCGCAACAGGUCUGCAGCUGAGGCCACAACACCUAGUUGUACCCGAAGGGCCUUCGCCUUUCUCUGGCCGCUUCCUGAACUCUGACAGCAGCGUUGCUGUGCGCCGCCACCCUGACCUUCC
rnacentral:misc_RNA from 1 species